rnacentral:rRNA from 1 species
GUUAAGCGACUAAGCGUACACGGUGGAUGCCCUGGCAGUCAGAGGCGAUGAAGGACGUGCUAAUCUGCGAUAAGCGUCGGUAAGGUGAUAUGAACCGUUAUAACCGGCGAUUUCCGAAUGGGGAAACCCAGUGUGUUUCGACACACUAUCAUUAACUGAAUCCAUAGGUUAAUGAGGCGAACCGGGGGAACUGAAACAUCUAAGUACCCCGAGGAAAAGAAAUCAACCGAGAUUCCCCCAGUAGCGGCGAGCGAACGGGGAGGAGCCCAGAGCCUGAAUCAGUGUGUGUGUUAGUGGAAGCGUCUGGAAAGGCGCGCGAUACAGGGUGACAGCCCCGUACACAAAAAUGCACAUGCUGUGAGCUCGAUGAGUAGGGCGGGACACGUGGUAUCCUGUCUGAAUAUGGGGGGACCAUCCUCCAAGGCUAAAUACUCCUGACUGACCGAUAGUGAACCAGUACCGUGAGGGAAAGGCGAAAAGAACCCCGGCGAGGGGAGUGAAAAAGAACCUGAAACCGUGUACGUACAAGCAGUGGGAGCACGCUUAGGCGUGUGACUGCGUACCUUUUGUAUAAUGGGUCAGCGACUUAUAUUCUGUAGCAAGGUUAACCGAAUAGGGGAGCCGAAGGGAAACCGAGUCUUAACUGGGCGUUAAGUUGCAGGGUAUAGACCCGAAACCCGGUGAUCUAGCCAUGGGCAGGUUGAAGGUUGGGUAACACUAACUGGAGGACCGAACCGACUAAUGUUGAAAAAUUAGCGGAUGACUUGUGGCUGGGGGUGAAAGGCCAAUCAAACCGGGAGAUAGCUGGUUCUCCCCGAAAGCUAUUUAGGUAGCGCCUCGUGAAUUCAUCUCCGGGGGUAGAGCACUGUUUCGGCAAGGGGGUCAUCCCGA